rnacentral:rRNA from 1 species
UACGUAAGUGGCGAGCGUUAUCCGGAAUUACUGGGCGUAAAGCGUUCGUAGGCGGUGCAGUAAGUUGGGUUUGAAAGCCCGGGGCUCAACUCCGGAACUGCCUUUAAGACUGCAUCGCUUGAAUUGUGGAGAGGUAAGUGGAAUUCCGAGUGUAGAGGUGAAAUUCGUAGAUAUUCGGAAGAACACCGGUGGCGAAGGCGGCCAACUGGACCAUUACUGACGCUGAGGCGCGAAAGCGUGGGGAGCAAACAGG